CAGACACUUUUGAAGAGACCUGAAAAUUUUAUUUACUUAUUAUCAUUUUAUUUUAUUAUUGUUUUCUUUGGAAUCUGGACCUUGACUGUACCUUGACUAAGAAAUUUGGACCUUGACAAAAAAUAAUUGACUUUCUCUGGUUUACAC